AACCUUAAAACCCCCUUAAACUUCCAACAAAAUAACUUUUCAGAAGUUAAACUAUUAACUAUUAAAAACUUUUCACCUCUUUCAUCAAAGUUACCUGAUGAUUAUCAACAACAGUCAUGGAGUACUUUAGAAAAAGCUAUUCAGGCCAUCGACAAUUCCAAGAACUUGCCCGUUUAUCUUGAGGAACUUUACAGAAUAGUUGAGAAUUUAUGCAC